rnacentral:lncRNA from 1 species
GAUUGUUUUGCAGGGUAUUUCAAGACUUCGAGACUCUAUGUCAUGUCCUAAGUCAUAGAGUCUGUAUUAGGAUGUUAAAAAUGUAAUUCUGUUUUUAUUGGAUCGAUCACGCAGAAGGUUGUUGUUUGGUGAUUGCGAUAACCUUCUUAUUUUUGUCUUUGGAUAAGCAUUGUAAAUUCUUUUUGUAUUUUGUCACGAAAUCGCCAAAGGGGGAGAUUGUUAAGGAUUUUAUAAGUUGGCGAAUUUCGUGAAGGUUUGGACGGAGUCUCGAAGAAUUAGAAGAUGAAGAUUGACGAAAAGAAUUGAAGUUUUUGUGAUCAAAGACCCUUGAGAACUCAGGUAUGAUUAUAAAUAAUUUGUGGUGAAGUUUUCAUUGUUAAAAGAUGUUU